CGGGACGUGGCGCAGCUUGGUAGCGCACUUGACUGGGGGUCAAGGGGUCGUCGGUUCAAAUCCGGCCGUCCCGA
rnacentral:tRNA from 4 species